GGUGGCUCAGUGGUAGAGAGCUUGCCUUGCAUGCAUGAGACCCUGGGUUCGAUUCCUCAGCACCA
rfam:Dipodomys ordii contig_35442, whole genome shotgun sequence.